CUGAUGCAACAUCAUCCAUACAUGAUGCAUACAUUUUUAUCUUUAAUGUGUAGGCACUUGAAGACCAGUGCCCAAUAUGCACAGGAACAUUUCCAGUGUCAGAAGUAGACCUGCCAUGCCAGCUUUUGUGGAGACAGUGAGGAGGAUGUGAUUCGUCAUGCAGCAGCACAGAUAAACACCACAAAGACAUCUGAAGUCUGUCACGAGAUAACACGUCUGAAGUUGUGUAAACAUAAAAAAACAGGAAUUCCAGUCAAUCCCCUGAAAAUCACCUUCCUUGGAGAGCCUGUAAAAAUAAAUAAAUAAAAUUAUAUGUAUAUAAAGCUAAAAACAAUAAAGCAAAAUGUACAGCUCCAUUA